AUAUCCACCACUUAUAAAUAUCUCAUUUACUCUUAUUUUUACUUUUUCGCCACUUUUAAUAUUAAUUAAAAUAUUUUUUCACUAUUCCAAAUACAUUCAAUAACUUUUUUUUCACUCAAAUACACUCAACAACUUUUGUUUUUUUAACUCGUGUCAUUCUUUCCUAAAAAUUCUUUCGUGCGACAGAAGUAUUAUUAUAAAUUACACAAUGAGAUCUUUGCUACUCAUUUUUGUCUGCGCUCGUGUGAUCAAUUCUCAAGCCAGAACUUUAACAGGCAUAACAUAUUAAUUGUGAAGCAGAAAAAUGCGACCAACUCAAUGAGAUCAGUCGGAAAUUGCCGGCCGGAGUGGCGGACUACAGCCGCCCCAGGACUCCGCCGCCACCGGCUCCGAAACCGGGGAAACCAACCCUUAUUGAGAUGAUCACCACCAGAUAAGCGGAACAUAACAUGUUUUGGAUAGUAAAAAAUUGUGGGAGGGAUGAGCAUGAGCUUGCGCCGCCGAGCCCCAACGAAGCGCCGCCUACUCACCAAGUAACCGGCGUACGUCAGAAAAUUAUGGGAAGGAGGGCGGUGAGCUGCCACCGCCGACUCCCCACCACGCACCACCCGCUCAUGACCAAGUGCCAGCUGGCGGCGGAUCAGCGGCGUCGGGAAAUUAUGGGAAGGAGGGUGGGGGGCUGCCACCGCUGACUCCCCACCACGCGCCACCAACUCACCGAGUUAGUGGCGUCGGAGAUGGGAAAAACAUGGGCGUUGUUAUCGCUCUCAGCCUAAUUAGCAGAAAUUAAUUAUAUGUAUAUAGAGAGAGGAGCUAUAUAGCGUAUGUUUGUUUAAUGUUAUGCUUUAAUUAAUCAUAGUAUGCUUUUGUUAUGUAACAUAAAAAGUUGUAGCCUCAUGAGCUUGUUUCUGCAAUAAAAAGGAAUAUAUUUUUGUUAGGGCAUCUUCAA